CUAGGUUUGCAGGUGACUUGCUGGCAGUAGUUGUGCCUUGGUGUAACUGUUGUGUCUCUUUUUAUAAGCAUGAGGUAUGUCGUGAUGGAUUUGCUGUUGAGAAUGACUGAGUAUUGGAGCGGGCUGCUCAAAAAGGUCAUGGAAUUUUCUGUUCUGGGGACAUUCAAAAGAAGCCCGGAUGUUCUUCCUGCUUCCUGUGUGAUCUGCUGCAUGGGACCUGCUUUAGAAGGUGAAUUGGACUUUAAACCCCUAGAAGUCCCUCUUAACUCCUACACUUCUACCUGGAGAUGCGCGUCGGUAACUUUUUUCAUCCCUAGCUGGGGAAGUUAGCAAGUGAUAAGGGAAGAGAACUUGCAAGAUCACAAAGAAUGUGUGAGAGGCCAGUUGCUUGAAAGGGUGUUAUACCAGCUGGCUGCGCACUCAAGUUAGAAUGGGGAAACAAGCUAAGGGGAAUCGGAAUAAAGUUGAGAAAGGAGGUGG